rnacentral:rRNA from 1 species
GCUUAUCGCGCCCGAGAGUUCACAUCGACGGCGCGGUUUGGCACCUCGAUGUCGGCUUGUCACAUCCUGGGGCUGGAGAAGGUCCCAAGGGUCCGGCUGUUCGCCGGUUAAAGUGGCACAUGAGCUGGGUUCAGAACGUCGUGAGACAGUUCGGUCUGUAUCCGGUGCGGGCGGUGGAGUGUUGAGGGAUGUCGUCCGUAGUACGAGAGGACCCGGACGAAGCGACCUCUCGUGUCCCGGCUGUCCUGCCAAGGGCAACGCCGGUUAGCGAUGUCGCGCGGGGAUAACCGCUGAAUGCAUCUAAGUGGGAAACCCUCCCCAAGAUGAACACUCCCGAGCCGCAAGGCUCCUGAAGGGCCCUGGGAGACUACCAGGUUGAUAGGCGGCAGGUGCAAGGCGCGCGAGCGCUUCAGCCGAGCCGUACUAAUUGCCCGUGAGGCUUGAUCUC